rnacentral:rRNA from 1 species
CACGGUAGGGGACAAGCGUUGUCCGGAUUCAUUGGGCGUAAAGCGCGCGUAGGCGGCUCGGAAAGUCGGUCGGUGAAAUGCCGGGGCUCAACCCCGGGACUGCGUCCGAUACUCCCGAGCUGGAGGCAGGUAGGGGAGAUCGGAAUUCCUGGUGUAGGCGGUGAAAUGCGCAGAGUAUCAGGAGGGAACACCGGUGGCGAAGGCGGAUCUCUGGGCCUUGCCUGACGCUGAGGCGCGAAAGCUAGGGGAGCGAACAGG